rnacentral:rRNA from 1 species
CCCAGACUCCUACGGGAGGCAGCAGUGGGGGAUAUUGCACAAUGGGGGGAACCCUGAUGCAGCGACGCCGCGUGGGUGAAGAAGUAUUUCGGUAUGUAAAGCCCUAUCGGCAGGGAAGAAAUUGGACGGUACCUGACUAAGAAGCCCCGGCUAACUACGUGCCAGCAGCCGCGGUAAUACGUAGGGGGCAAGCGUUAUCCGGAUUCACUGGGUGUAAAGGGAGCGUAGACGGCCAUGCAAGCCUGGAGUGAAAGCCCGGGGCCCAACCCCGGGACUGCUCUGGGAACUGUGCGGCUGGAGUGCGGGAGGGGCAGGUGGAAUUCCUGGUGUAGCGGUGAAAUGCGUAGAUAUCAGGAGGAACACCGGCGGCGAGGGCGGCCUGCUGGACCGCGACUGACGUUGAGGCUCGAAAGCGUGGGGAGCAAACAGGAUUAGAUACCCUCGUACA